CCCUUAGAUGUUCUGGGCCGCACGCGCGCUACACUGUUCGACGCAGCGAGUCUUAACCUUGACCGAAAGGUUUGGGUAACCUUCAGCAAAGUCGAACGUGAUGGGGAUCGAUCAUUGCAAUUAUUGAUCGUGAACGAGGAAUUCCUAGUAAGUGCAAGUCAUCAGCUUGCGCUGAUUACGUCCCUGCCCUUUGUACACACCGCCCGUCGCUACUACCGAUUGAAUGGUUUAGUGAGAUCUCUGGAUUGACGCUGGCUAGGGGGCGACCCUUGGCCAGACUGUUGAGAAACUGCUCAAACUUGAUCAUUUAGAGGAAGUAAAAGUCGUAACA
rnacentral:rRNA from 1 species